CCUUUGCUGAGGAUACGGUUAACGGAGCGCAAGCGACGUUCAACCGCAAAAGAAGCAGAGGGGGCUUAGUGGUGGGGUGACUGCGUACCUUUUGUAUAAUGGGUCAGCGACUUAUAUUCUGUAGCAAGGUUAACCGUAUAGGGGAGCCGGAGGGAAACCGAGUCUUAAUUGGGCGUUAAGUUGCAGGGUAUAGACCCGAAACCCGGUGAUCUAGCCAUGGGCAGGUUGAAGGUUGGGUAACACUAACUGGAGGACCGAACCGACUAAUGUUGAAAAAUUAGCGGAUGACCUGUGGCUGGGGGUGAAAGGCCAAUCAAACCGGGAGAUAGCUGGUUCUCCCCGAAAGCUAUUUAGGUAGCGCCUCGUGAAUUCAUCUCCGGGGGUAGAGCACUGUUUCGGCUAGGGGGCCAUCCCGGCUUACCAACCCGAUGCAAACUGCGAAUACCGGAGAAUGUUAUCACGGGAGACACACGGCGGGUGCUAACGUCCGUCGUGAAGAGGGAAACAACCCAGACCGCCAGCUAAGGUCCCAAAGUCAUGGUUAAGUGGGAAACGAUGUGGGAAGGCCCAGACAGCCAGGAUGUUGGCUUAGAAGCAGCCAUCAUUUAAAGAAAGCGUAAUAGCUCACUGGUCGAGUCGGCCUGCGCGGAAGAUGUAACGGGGCUAAACCAUGCACCGAAGCUGCGGCAGCGAACGUAUCACUUAAAGCGAUUCAGCGGGUUACGAUUGACGGAGCGAAGCGACGUCAAAGCGUAUACAAAGUCGAGUCGGUUUAAGGAUACGUUCGUUGGGUAGGGGAGCGUUCUGUAAGCCUGUGAAGGUGGCCUGUGAGGGUUGCUGGAGGUAUCAGAAGUGCGAAUGCUGACAUAAGUAACGAUAAAGCGGGUGAAAAGCCCGCUCGCCGGAAGACCAAGGGUUCCUGUCCAACGUUAAUCGGGGCAGGGUGAGUCGACCCCUAAGGCGAGGCCGAAAGGCGUAGUCGAUGGGAAACGGGUUAAUAUUCCCGUACUUGGUGUUACUGCGAAGGGGGGACGGAGAAGGCUAUGUUGGCCGGGCGACGGUUGUCCCGGUUUAAGCGUGUAGGUGUGUGUUCCAGGUAAAUCCGGUUCACUUUAACACUGAGGCGUGAUGACGAGGCACUACGGUGCUGAAGCAACAAAUGCCCUGCUUCCAGGAAAAGCCUCUAAGCAUCAGGUAACAUCAAAUCGUACCCCAAACCGACACAGGUGGUCAGGUAGAGAAUACCAAGGCGCUUGAGAGAACUCGGGUGAAGGAACUAGGCAAAAUGGUGCCGUAACUUCGGGAGAAGGCACG
rnacentral:rRNA from 1 species